UGGGUUUGACAAGGAAGAAUGAAACCUGAUUCCAGCCAACGGGACACGUCGUUGUGCUGGUCUGUGAGGUGACCCAGUUCUGAGACCUGCCGCUUGGCUCUGAGCACACUCUAUCUAUCACACUUCCCGCUCGCACCCCUAGGCCUCCGAGGCUCUGGUCCAAAAUGCCUGGGCAGAUUCAAGUGUCAAGCUGAAGGUGACAGGUUACCACAUCCCAGCGCUGAGCUCUCACCCGGCCGAGCAGCGGCUCCAUCAGGGUGUUGCAUUCACCUCCUUCCCAGCACCUGGUCUCAUUUACACCCUGUUGAGGAGAGAUCCUUCCGCCCUGGCCUUGAACACAGCAGUCCCACUAGGUCCAAGUCUUUCUGAGCCCUGAUGCUGCCCCAGGACUCUCCUCUGAGCCUUCAGUUUCAAGACUUAAGUCAACUUGAAAGAACCUCAGGGACUGGGGUAUAGAUAGACCCAUCGCUCGCAGUAAAA